rnacentral:rRNA from 1 species
AUUGAACGCUGGCGGCAGGCCUAACACAUGCAAGUCGAACGAGUGGCGGACGGGUGAGUAAUGUCUGGGAAACUGCCUGAUGGCAGGGGAUAACUACUGGAAACGGUAGCUAAUACCGCAUACCAUCGGAUGUGCCCAGAUGGGAUUAGCUAGGAGGUGGGGUAACGGCUCACCUAGGCGACGAUCCCUAGCUGGUCUGAGAGGAGGACCAGACACACUGGAACUGAGACACGGUCCAGACUCCGACGGGAGGCAGCAGUGGGGAAGAUGGCACAAUGGGCGCAAGCAUGAUGCAGCCAUGCCGCGUGUGUGAAGAAGGCCUUCGGGUUGUAAAGCACUUUCAGCGGGGAGGCGUUACCCGCAGAAGAAGCACCGGCUAACUCCGUGCCAGCAGCCGCGGUAAUAC